AUUGUGAGACCUCUGGCUACAACACAGGACACGGGAGCUUCUCUGACCCCUCGUGUCUUGUGUUGCAGCCAGAGGAGCACA
rnacentral:pre_miRNA from 1 species